rnacentral:tRNA from 1 species
GGGGCUGUAGCUCAGUGACAGAGCACUUGCCUAGCAUGCAUUAGGCACUGGGUUCAAUUCUCAGCACCA